ACCCCGGUCUAACCACCGGGAUGUUCAUAACCCUUUGUUGUCCGACUCUGUUGCCUCCGGGGCGACCCUGCCUUCGGGCGGGGGCUCCGGGUGGACACUUCAAACUCUUGCGUAACUUUGCAGUCUGAGUAAACUUAAUUAAUAAAUUAAAACUUUUAACAACGGAUCUCUUGGUUCUGGCAUCGAUGAAGAACGCAGCGAAAUGCGAUAAGUAAUGUGAAUUGCAGAAUUCAGUGAAUCAUCGAAUCUUUGAACGCACAUUGCGCCCCCUGGUAUUCCGGGGGGCAUGCCUGUUCGAGCGUCAUUUCACCACUCAAGCCUCGCUUGGUAUUGGGCAACGCGGUCCGCCGCGUGCCUCAAAUCGACCGGCUGGGUCUUCUGUCCCCUAAGCGUUGUGGAAACUAUUCGCUAAAGGGUGUUCGGGAGGCUACGCCGUAAAACAACCCCAUUUCUAAGGUUGACCUCGGAUCAGGUAGGGAUACCCGCUGAACUUAAGCAUAUCAAUAAGCGGAGGAA
rnacentral:rRNA from 1 species